AUGGCUGUCGUCAGCUCGUGUUGUGAAAUGUUGGGUUAAGUCCGCACGAGCGCACCCUUAUCCUUGUUUGCCAGCGAGUAAUGUCGGGAACUCCAGGGAGACUGCCGGUGAUAAACCGGAGGAAGGUGGGGACGACGUCAAGUCAUCAUGGCCCUUACGAGUAGGGCUACACACGUGCUACAAUGGCGCAUACAGAGGGCAGCAAGCUAGCGAUAGUGAGCGAAUCCCAAAAAGUGCGUCGUAGUCCGGAUUGGAGUCUGCAACUCGACUCCAUGAAGUCGGAAUCGCUAGUAAUCGUGGAUCAGAAUGCCACGGUGAAUACGUUCCCGGGCCUUGUACACACCGCCCGU
rnacentral:rRNA from 1 species